rnacentral:rRNA from 1 species
UACAGGGGGUGCAAGCGUUGUUCGGAAUUACUGGGCGUAAAGGGUCUGUAGGUGGCCAACUAAGUCAGACGUGAAAUCCCUCAGCUUAACUGGGGAACUGCGUCUGAUACUGGAUGGCUUGAGUGUGGGAGAGGAAUGCGGAAUUCCAGGUGUAGCGGUGAAAUGCGUAGAUAUCUGGAGGAACACCGGUGGCGAAGGCGGCAUUCUGGACCAUAACUGACACUGAGAGACGAAAGCCAGGGGAGCAAGCGGG